rnacentral:rRNA from 1 species
AACGAACGCUGGCGGCAGGCUUAACACAUGCAAGUCGAACGCCCCGCCAGGGGAGUGGCAGACGGGUGAGUAACGCGUGGGAACAUACCCUUUCCUGCGGAAUAGCUCCGGGAAACUGGAAUUAAUACCGCAUACGCCCUACGGGGGAAAGAUUUAUCGGGGAAGGAUUGGCCCGCGUUGGAUUAGCUAGUUGGUGGGGUAAAGGCCUACCAAGGCGACGAUCCAUAGCUGGUCUGAGAGGAUGAUCAGCCACAUUGGGACUGAGACACGGCCCAAACUCCUACGGGAGGCAGCAGUGGGGAAUAUUGGACAAUGGGCGCAAGCCUGAGCCAGCCAUGCCGCGUGAGUGAUGAAGGCCUUAGGGUUGUAAAGCUCUUUCACCGAUGAAGAUAAUGACGGUAGUCGGAGAAGAAGCCCCGGCUAACUUCGUG